rnacentral:rRNA from 1 species
GACGAACGCUGGCGGCGUGCUUAACACAUGCAAGUCGAACGGAGUGGCGAAAGGGUGAGUAACACGUAGGUGACCUGCCCCGCACUUCGGGAUGAGCCUGGGGAACUGGAUCUACUACCGGGUAGUGUGGGAUGGGCUCGCGGCCUAUCAGCUUGUUGGUGGGGUAAUGGCCUACCAAGGCGGCGACGGGUAGCCGGCCUGAGAGGGGGGACGGCCCCAUUGGGACUGAGAUACGGCCCAGACUCCUACGGGAGGCAGCAGUGGGGAAUAUUGCACAAUGGGGGGAAGCCUGAUGCAGCGACGCCGCGUGGGGGAUGACGGCCUUCGGGUUGUAAACUCCUUUCACCAUCGACGCGGUAGAGGGAGAAGAAGCACCGGCUAACUACGUGCCAGCAGCCGCGGUAAUAC